rnacentral:rRNA from 1 species
AUGGCGCGCGCCGGCGCUCUCUGCCUCGCGCUGCUCUGCCUCCUCGCGGCGCACUCCGCCGUCGCCCAGAAGGCCACGGCACCGGCCGCUGCGCCCACCACCACCACGCCCACACCGGCGGCUCCCGCCAAGAAGACGACCGCGCCCGCCGCGGCGCCGGCCACCACGCCCGUUGCCGCCACCCCACCGACCGCAGCGGCUCCCACCACACCCGCAACCCCCGCCCCCGCCGCGGCGCCACCCACCAAGGCUACCCCGGCACCAUCCAAGGCUCCCGCCGCGGCGCCACCCACCAAGGCCUCCUCGCCCCCUGCCCCGGCGCCCAAGGCCAGCACUCCGCCGGUCGAGGCUCCCGUCGCCGCCCCGCCCGCUCCCGUCGCCGAGGCUCCCGCCACCAUUCCCACCAAGCCUGACGCCCCCGCGCCCGCCCCGGCCAAGAAGAAGAAGAAGUCAUCCUCCAAGAAGAAGAAGAGCAAGGCCCCGGCCCCCGCUCCCGUCGCCGCCGAGGCCCCCACCAAGUCCAAGAAGGCUAAGGCCCCCGCGGCCUCCGACGACUCCGAAGCCCCCGGCCCCGCACUCGAUGCUGCCGCCGACGACACCGCGGGCGCGAUCCAGAGCAUGGCAGGAAGCAUCAUGUCGGCGUGCGCGAUGGCGCUGGGCCUCCUCGCCCUCCUCGCCUAG